rnacentral:ribozyme from 13 species
AGGAAGAAGAACAAAGGGAAAAUCAGACUUGGAACCACUAUCAAAAUGAUAAAAUGUAACUUUCAAACGCCCUUCUUUCCCCCUUCUUUUCUUAUCUUUUUUCUCUUCUUUUUCGUCUGCCGAAAUAGUGAGAGAAGAAGCAGAAAUUGCAGAAUAAAGUUGUUCAAAAUAAAGGUGCAUCUCUUCUUCUUU